UAAUACGUAGGGGGCAAGCGUUGUCCGGAAUUAUUGGGCGUAAAGGGCGUGUAGGCGGUAUCGUAAGUCAGGUGUGAAAGUUUGAGGCUUAACCUCAAAAUUGCACUUGAAACUGCAAUACUUGAGUACUGGAGAGGUAAGUGGAAUUCCUAGUGUAGCGGUGAAAUGCGUAGAUAUUAGGAGGAACACCAGUGGCGAAGGCGACUUACUGGACAGUUACUGACGCUGAGGCGCGAAAGCGUGGGGAGCAAACAGG
rnacentral:rRNA from 1 species